CGAUACGAAGUUAUUACGGGCGGCCGUAACUAUAACGGUCCUAAGGUAGCGAAAUUCCUUGUCGGGUAAGUUCCGACCCGCACGAAAGGCGUAACGAUCUGGGCACUGUCUCGGAGAGAGGCUCGGUGAAAUAGACAUGUCUGUGAAGAUGCGUACUACCUGCACCUGGACAGAAAGACCCUAUGGAAGGCUUUUAUGUUCCCCUGGAU
rnacentral:ncRNA from 1 species